rnacentral:rRNA from 1 species
AUACGGAAGGUCCGGGCGUUAUCCGGAUUUAUUGGGUUUAAAGGGUGCGUAGGCGGUUAUUUAAGUCAGUGGUGAAAGUUUUCGGCUCAACCGGAAAAUUGCCAUUGAUACUGGGUAGCUAGAAUAUGGUUGCUGUGAGUAGAAUGUGUGGUGUAGCGGUGAAAUGCAUAGAUAUCACACAGAAUACAGAUUGCGAAGGCAUCUCACAAAGCCAUCAUUGACGCUGAGGCACGAAAGUGUGGGGAUCAAACAGGAUUAGAUACCCUGGUAGUCCACACUGUAAACGAUGAUAACUCGCUGUCGGCGAUACAUAGUCGGUGGCCAAGCGAAAGCGAUAAGUUAUCCACCUGGGGAGUACGACCGCAAGGUUGAAACUCAAAUGAAUUGACGGGG